UUUUAUAAGAAUAUGAUGUUGGUUCAGAUUAAGCGCUAAAUAAGGACAUGACACAUGCGAAUCAUACGUUUAUUAUUGAUAAUAUAAUAAAUAUGUGGUGUAAACGUGAGUAAUUUUAUUAGGAAUUAAUGAACUAUAGAAUAAGCUAAAUACUUAAUAUAUUAUUAUAUAAAAAUAAUUUAUAUAAUAAAAAGGAUAUAUAUAUAAUAUAUAUUUAUCUAUAGUCAAGCCAAUAAUGGUUUAGGUAGUAGGUUUAUUAAGAGUUAAACCUAGCCAACGAUCCAUAAUCGAUAAUGAAAGUUAGAACGAUCACGUUGACUCUGAAAUAUAGUCAAUAUCUAUAAGAUACAGCAGUGAGGAAUAUUGGACAAUGAUCGAAAGAUUGAUCCAGUUACUUAUUAGGAUGAUAUAUAAAAAUAUUUUAUUUUAUUUAUAAAUAUUAAAUAUUUAUAAUAAUAAUAAUAAUAUAUAUAUAUAUAUAAAUUGAUUAAAAAUAAAAUCCAUAAAUAAUUAAAAUAAUGAUAUUAAUUACCAUAUAUAUUUUUAUAUGGAUAUAUAUAUUAAUAAUAAUAUUAAUUUUAUUAUUAUUAAUAAUAUAUUUUAAUAGUCCUGACUAAUAUUUGUGCCAGCAGUCGCGGUAACACAAAGAGGGCGAGCGUUAAUCAUAAUGGUUUAAAGGAUCCGUAGAAUGAAUUAUAUAUUAUAAUUUAGAGUUAAUAAAAUUAAUUAAAGAAUUAUAAUAGUAAAGAUGAAAUAAUAAUAAUAAUUAUAAGACUAAUAUAUGUGAAAAUAUUAAUUAAAUAUUAACUGACAUUGAGGGAUUAAAACUAGAGUAGCGAAACGGAUUCGAUACCCGUGUAGUUCUAGUAGUAAACUAUGAAUACAAUUAUUUAUAAUAUAUAUUAUAUAUAAAUAAUAAAUGAAAAUGAAAGUAUUCCACCUGAAGAGUACGUUAGCAAUAAUGAAACUCAAAACAAUAGACGGUUACAGACUUAAGCAGUGGAGCAUGUUAUUUAAUUCGAUAAUCCACGACUAACCUUACCAUAUUUUGAAUAUUAUAAUAAUUAUUAUAAUUAUUAUAUUACAGGCGUUACAUUGUUGUCUUUAGUUCGUGCUGCAAAGUUUUAGAUUAAGUUCAUAAACGAACAAAACUCCAUAUAUAUAAUUUUAAUUAUAUAUAAUUUUAUAUUAUUUAUUAAUAUAAAGAAAGGAAUUAAGACAAAUCAUAAUGAUCCUUAUAAUAUGGGUAAUAGACGUGCUAUAAUAAAAUGAUAAUAAAAUUAUAUAAAAUAUAUUUAAUUAUAUUUAAUUAAUAAUAUAAAACAUUUUAAUUUUUAAUAUAUUUUUUUAUUAUAUAUUAAUAUGAAUUAUAAUCUGAAAUUCGAUUAUAUGAAAAAAGAAUUGCUAGUAAUACGUAAAUUAGUAUGUUACGGUGAAUAUUCUAACUGUUUCGCACUAAUCACUCAUCACGCGUUGAAACAUAUUAUUAUCUUAUUAUUUAUAUAAUAUUUUUUAAUAAAUAUUAAUAAUUAUUAAUUUAUAUUUAUUUAUAUCAGAAAUAAUAUGAAUUAAUGCGAAGUUGAAAUACAGUUACCGUAGGGGAACCUGCGGUGGGCUUAUAAAUAUC
rnacentral:ncRNA from 1 species